GACGAACGCUGGCGGCGUGCUUAACACAUGCAAGUCGAACGGAAAGGCCCUGCUUUUGUGGGGUGCUCGAGUGGCGAACGGGUGAGUAACACGUGAGUAACCUGCCCUUGACUUUGGGAUAACUUCAGGAAACUGGGGCUAAUACCGGAUAGGAGCUCCUGCUGCAUGGUGGGGGUUGGAAAGUUUCGGCGGUUGGGGAUGGACUCGCGGCUUAUCAGCUUGUUGGUGGGGUAGUGGCUUACCAAGGCUUUGACGGGUAGCCGGCCUGAGAGGGUGACCGGCCACAUUGGGCCUGAGAUACGGCCCAGACUCCUACGGGAGGCAGCAGUGGGGAAUAUUGCACAAUGGGCGGAAGCCUGAUGCAGCAACGCCGCGUGCGGGAUGACGGCCUUCGGGUUGUAAACCGCUUUCGCCUGUGACGAAGCGUGAGUGACGGUACUGGGUAAAGAAGCACCGGCUAACUACGUG
rnacentral:rRNA from 1 species